UUUUGACCUCGGAUCAGGUAGGGAUACCCGCUGAACUUAAGC
rnacentral:rRNA from 3 species